GCCCUCGUGGUGUAGGGGUCAACACGCUCGGAGCUUAUUCGAGAGGUCCAUGGUUCGAGUCCCGGCAAGGGCA
rfam:Stegodyphus mimosarum contig94897, whole genome shotgun sequence.